CUGAGCCUGAUGUGGAAGCUUAUAUUCCUUCAUUCCUGAUCUGGGAGAAGCUACUCUCUAUGGUAUGGAGUUAGAUCCAAGAAAUACAUUGAAUCUACAAUGAUCUGGGGUCAGCUGCUUGAAAUUUGGAUGUGAGUCAGGCCUGGGGUUACUACAAGUUUGUAUGUAAUCUUGGUCACCAAGGAAGCUGAGCAAGAGGACCACAAGUUCAAGACCAGCCUAGGCCUAGGAGAAGCCGGGCCUGCUCCCUAUAACCCCAAAGCUUAGCCCAGAGCCGGCUGGGAGUAGAAACUUAACAGCAUCUCCAGGAAACGCCAAGGAAAUGCUCAGGAGCACUGAGUUGAACGUGCAAG
rnacentral:lncRNA from 1 species